GGCCGCUGGAACCUUCUGGAAAUGGCGGCGGCGGCCCCGGCUGGUCACGGGGCGAGGUGGCGGACGAAAGCUUUUCCGGUCCGUGCCGCGGGACGGGAGCCGACCUAGAGCUACCAGCGCGUCUCGCUUCGCCUCGCUCGGUCCUGGCGCUGCCGCCCCCUCCCCGGGGAGGGGUUUUUCCGGCGGUGAUGGCGCAGUGAGUUUUAACUGUCCGGCGCUGUGCGCGUGCGCGGCGGGCGCUGCCCAUCCCGUUCCAUCCCGUGUUCUGUCCCGUCACCGGGCGCUAGCGGGCACGGAGGGGCCGCAGCUAAAGGCCCCGCAGGUUUUGGGAGAAGGCCCCGGACGCAGAUUUACAACAGACCACAAUCACAAAAAUGCAUCACUCCUCUUGUAUAAUCAAGACAGUAGAUGAAAUGAAAAAUACACUGAUACGUCUGAUACAAAUGAAGUGUUCUAGCAAGAGGCCAAGAAACUAAAAGAUGCUGCAGGAAAUGAGUAUUUCGUGUCAAUAGGAAUUGAAAACUGACCACAACGUCACAAUCUGGAACAACUGGAAAAUACAGACCUUUCCAUGUCUUAGCUGCACAGAUCAAUUCCACAAUUCAUGAAAUCCAGGGGGAGUCCAAUUUUCUGAUUGUAUAUGAACACCUGGUGUUGAUGAAAAGAAUGCCUUUGUCUCAAACCAGCAGGACAAGUUUCCCUUUAAAUCUCCCACUUUAAGUACCAUCUGGAAUUUAGUUAGGGCAAACAAUUACACACACAUAUAGUGACAUCCAUCUGUCUUCUUCCCAUCACCUUUUACUUCAGAGAAGAACAAAUAUUACCUUAUUAGAAAACAACUGAGAAAAAAACAAGGAAAAACCAAGUUCUUAUGCUCAUUUAGCAAAAAUUCUGCUGUGGAAUAAGUCAUCAAUGAUGCUAUUAAAUAAACAUCUGCAAAGCACACAGAUUUUCUACUUGCCUUCCUCUGUUAUCAGGUGCCUCCCUGCAGCAAAUAAUUUAAACAAUUACAGAAAUCUUGAAUUUACAAAGCUAUCUAGCUUCAUAUGUCAGACAUAAAAGCCAUUAGGGUGCCAAAGACAUCUUUUGCCUGUCUUCACCAACCUCCAACUACACUUGAAGUUUCCUAAAUUGCCAGACUACAGCAUUUCCUCCAUUCCUUGAACACCAGCUCUCACCCUGUAAAACGCCAAUUCCUGCUCAGAUUUCUGGAAAAGUACACAAAGCGUAUACUGAGAUCCUAUUAACUUCAUUUUAUGAUUAAAGCUGUAGAGACAGCUGCAGAAAGGAAAUAACAACAACAACAACAACGUGUCCAAAAAUCCUGAACACCUGUUUUCAACAGUGGUCAACUCUCCAGUAAAGGGCUGAUUUUCACCAAGUGUUGGGAAAAUGCCAAAUUAUUCAGCCGUUAAACUGCAGACCAGCUAAAGUUCUGAAUGAAGAAGAAUGGCACAAAAUACAUAUUCUCUUGAGAUGCUUCAGGUUCUCUUCAGAGGUAGACAGACAACACAGCUGCUUGACACACUUAAAUUCAAGGGCUUUUUAGUUUUUUCAAUUACAUCUACUGUUUAUGCCUUUUGUGACAGUGCUUAAUGGCCUCAAUUACAACUCAUUUUACGACCUGCUGUAUCACACACAACAGGAAACAAGAACUGUACUUUUCAACUCCUGUAAACACAGCUAGGACCUGAGCCCACGGGUAAUUCUGCAGCAAAUUUCAGAAAGCAAGAAACUGCACCUGCAAAAAGUUUAAUGAGAUUCAAUUGCAAACUCAACUAAAAUAAAUGAAGGAAACAAGAACUGGUUUAUAAUGAAAUAAAUUUAAGCAAAGUCUCAUCUGCAAUCACAUACAAAUUAUGGAGCAUUUUCACUAUAAAAGGCAAGAAACACAAGAGACAAAAACUAAAACAAAGCCUAAAAUAAAACUCUACUACAACUCUAAUAGAAGGCUCUAUAGACAAAAACCCUCUCUGUAAAUGCCAGUAGGUUUCUACAGCAAAGUUCUGCCCAUCAGAAGCUUUUAGGCAGAUUUGAAGAAGCACAUGCCAAACUCUUCUGACCCAUCCCCCUUAGAGUAAAGCAGAUUAUUUACCACAAAUAAGGCUCCAGAGGCAUUGCGCUCUGCUGUUCCGUGCAAGUAUCGGAUCUGCCUUGCCUACAAGCAAAGUACAGGAUUAGUAAUGCACAUACUGCCAGUGGCUGCUUCCACAACCAGUCUGACUGCCAUUCCAACUGGAAGCCACUAAUUCUACUGCCAUCACUAACAAUUCACAGUAAGUCAAGAAGAGAUUAUUAAGGGCUCUCCUGUACUAUUAGGAGAGCAAAUCUCUCAACUCCCACCUUGACCAGUUGAAACAAUGUAGAAAUUAAAGGUUUUAACUCCGCUACUGCUUAAUUUAAGCGCCUUGAACAUAAGUUCCCAUCCAACAUUUCAUGAAGAAUUUCCCAAUUUCUGACUUUACAUGCUAUCUGUUAUAAAGUUUGCAGAAACCACCACUGCCACUGAAAUUCUUCUCCAGUAAGCAUUUGCUACUGAAGUUCUUCUCCAGUAAGCAUUUGCAUGUUUCUUCAGCUUAAUCGAACCAAAUGCUGAGAACUGGCACAGGAGGGCAAAUGUAAACACAGACCUGAAGAAUGAACAGAACACAGACCCAUAUGCAAGUUCUGUUCAACUAUUGUCUGUACUCUCUAACAUGCCAGAACAGAUCAAGAUUUCUAGAUUCUGGCCGGUAUUAGUAAGAUUUGAUAA